CUCCAGUACAUAUUCUCGGUUCACCCGCUACUUCUCACCAGAUCAUUGUUUCAGCCCGUCUGAAGCCUGCCGGUUCCAGCCCGCCCUUCGCCGGUCUUCCAGUCCAGUCCUGAUCCAGUCCGGUCCUGCUCCCAGUCCUGAUCCAGUCCAGUCUGGAUCCAGCCCAGUCCUGAACCAGUCCGGUUCCAGUUCUGUCCGGGGCGUCAACGCCUUCUCCCUUGCUACCCAGCUGGAUCACCAGUUAUUAAAAUAAAUGUGUCUGAUUUUUCCCACAGAA